AUUGAACGCCGGCGGCAGGCCUAACACAUGCAAGUCGAGCGGAUGAAGGGAGCUUGCUCCUGGAUUCAGCGGCGGACGGGUGAGUAAUGCCUAGGAAUCUGCCUGGUAGUGGGGGAUAACGUCCGGAAACGGGCGCUAAUACCGCAUACGUCCUGAGGGAGAAAGUGGGGGAUCUUCGGACCUCACGCUAUCAGAUGAGCCUAGGUCGGAUUAGCUAGUUGGUGGGGUAAAGGCCUACCAAGGCGACGAUCCGUAACUGGUCUGAGAGGAUGAUCAGUCACACUGGAACUGAGACACGGUCCAGACUCCUACGGGAGGCAGCAGUGGGGAAUAUUGGACAAUGGGCGAAAGCCUGAUCCAGCCAUGCCGCGUGUGUGAAGAAGGUCUUCGGAUUGUAAAGCACUUUAAGUUGGGAGGAAGGGCAGUAAGUUAAUACCUUGCUGUUUCGACGUUACCAACAGAAUAAGCACCGGCUAACUUCGUG
rnacentral:rRNA from 1 species